rnacentral:rRNA from 1 species
GACGAACGCUGGCGGCGUGCUUAACACAUGCAAGUCGAACGGAAAGGCCCUGCUUUUGUGGGGUGCUCGAGUGGCGAACGGGUGAGUAACACGUGAGUAACCUGCCCUUGACUUUGGGAUAACUUCAGGAAACUGGGGCUAAUACCGGAUAGGAGCUCCUGCUGCAUGGUGGGGGUUGGAAAGUUUCGGCGGUUGGGGAUGGACUCGCGGCUUAUCAGCUUGUUGGUGGGGUAGUGGCUUACCAAGGCUUUGACGGGUAGCCGGCCUGAGAGGGUGACCGGGCACAAUGGGACUGAGAUACGGCGCAGACUCCUACGGGAGGCAGCAGUGGGGAAUAUUGCACAAUGGGCGGAAGCCUGAUGCAGCAACGCCGCGUGCGGGAUGACGGCCUUCGGGUUGUAAACCGCUUUCGCCUGUGACGAAGCGUGAGUGACGGUAAUGGGUAAAGAAGCACCGGCUAACUACGUG